CAUUAGAUGACUGAAAGCAAGUAAUGGUCUCUUAAACCAAAUAAUAGUAGAUUAACGCCUACUUCUAAUGG
rnacentral:tRNA from 2 species